UGUGCAAAGGUAGCAUAAUCAUUAGUUCUUUAAUUGAGGAAUGGAAUGAAGGAUUUGACGAGGUCUGAACUAUCUAAUUUUUAAGAUUUAAAACUAAUCUUAGGGUAAAAAAGCCUUAAUUAUCUAGAGGGACGAUAAGACCCUGGAACCUAAUCCUUAAAUUAGUACAAACCAUCAGAAACGUGUGCACGUGAGGGAAUUUACUGGGGCGGUAUAUUUUUCAAAAUAGUUUUAAACACAGUGAAUGAUUACCUACUAACCUAAUAAGAAAACAUAUAGGUACUCCAGGGAUAACAGCACAAUCCCUUUUUAGAGCCCAAAUCGGCGAGGGGGCUUAUGACCUCGAUGUUGAAUUAAUAAUUCUUUUCUAAGCAG
rnacentral:rRNA from 1 species